AUUAAGCAAGCAAAGGGACCGUCUCUUACAGGCAAAUGCUUCAAGUUUUCUGGUCUGGUUAACUUGAAUUUCCAUGUCUGCAGACUUCUAAUAUGUUUAUUAAAUGUUGCAGUAUUCGUAUGAUAUGUUGCUUCAGUAUCUACAUAGAACAUAAUCUACUUUAAUGCUUGGUGUUAUCAACGUGCACAAGUUAUCAACGGAAACACCAUUUAGGCCAAGAGAGAAGCUUCUGGAGAAGCAGAGGUUGUUCCAAAGCAAUAGGCACACUUACCUUAAAGGACCAAUGGACAAAGUCAACUCUGUUGCCAUUCCUCUUGCCUUGGCUGCAUCUUCUCUCUACAUGAUUGUAAGUGUUAGACUACCGACAAUAGUGGGGACGUUUUGAGCUGAAGCAAAGUCCCUACCUUCUUGUAACAUGGUUGCUGAGGCUGCGUGAGCAUGGCUUGAGGUCGUGGUCCUACUAUUCCUCCAUUGGAGAAAGGUUGUUGUUGUUGGACCCAUGGACCGAACUGCUGAGGCCACAUAGGAGUUGUCCAUUGCUGGUACUGUGGUCAUUGUUGGUUGUAGAAGCCUCUGCCUCGUCCUCUGUUUUUCUUGUUUGUUCCUCUGUUUUGAUUGUAGAAGCGUUGAGGCUGCUGGUGUUGUUGAGGAACCUGAGUUACGAUUUGUAACAUGGUCGUGAGUCGGGUGACCUUUACCACCAUAGUCGAAGAUACCGCGAGGGCAGAUCUCGGCACAAGCGCAGUCGUCGGAAGACGACUGUUAUAUCAGCGGCGUCUUCUUCUUCUUCUCAUUCUUGGUCUUCGGUUUAUAAUAAUGGCGAACAUAACCACUACAUCGUCUUGGGAAUCGCUCGCAACGCCACGCAAGCUGACGUCAAGAGAGCUUAUCACUUGCUGGCUCGAAAGUUUCAUCCUGAUGUGAACAAGGAUUCUAAAGCCGGAGAGCUAUUCAAGAGCAUUCGUUGCUCCUACGAGGGUCUAUCUAAUGAAGCUACCAGGAGUCAGUAUGACCGAGCACUCAAACAUCAGGAAAACUCGAGGUUCUCUAGAGUGAAAAGAAACUACAGCACCCCUGACACCGAGAAAAGCAAUCUCUAGAUCUGCAUCUCCUUCACUGAUUCUUCCAGAUCCGAUCAUAGUUUAUAAUCUGUCCCUGUUUGGUCUUGGAUUGUAGAUCAUAGGAUCAUUGUUAUUAAACAACUUGUUGGAUCUUGAGGCUGGAGAUAUAUGUUCUUGUGUCACCAACUUAGUUCUUUUUACUUGUUUCCUGUUUGUAAAGAAUCAACUUGUUUAUUUUGUUUGAUUGGAACAUAUCACAAACUACUUUGAUCUGUUAUGUUUUGAAUGAAAAGGUUUAUGUCAAGGCGAAAGAACU